AGAACUGUUUUGGAAAAGCAGGCCAUAGUGGGUGAUAGUCUCGUAUACGAAAUCAUAUAGUUAAGGUUAUGUCGUUCCUGAGUAGGGCGGGGCACGAGAAACCCUGUUUGAAUCUGGGUAGACCACUAUCCAAGACAAAAUACUAGCCAGUGACCGAUAGUGUAGAGUACCGUGAGGGAAAGGUGAAAAGUCUCCCGUUGAGGGCUAUUAAAUAGAACCUGAAACCUUAAGCUUACAAGUAGUCAGAGGGUAUCCUAUUAGCAAUAAUAGCGACCUGAUGGCGUGCCUUUUGUAGAAUGAGCCUGCGACUUAUAGUAUGUAGCAAGAUUAAGAGGUAAUAGCCUUGUAGUCGUAGUGAAAGCGAGCCUUAAUAGGGCGAAAUUAGUUGCAUGCUAUACGACCCGAAGCCAAGUGAUCUACCUAUGAGCAGUGCGAAACUCGAGUAACAUCGAGCGGAGGUGCGAACCAGUGGUCGUGAAAAGACUUUGGAUGACUUGUGGGUAGGAGUGAAAGGCUAAUCAAACUUGGAGAUAGCUGGUUCUCUCCGAAAUGUCUUUAGGGGCAGCGUUAUGCGUUUACUUGCGGGGGUAGAGCACUAAAUGGACUAGGGCUCCUAACCGAGUACCAAACCCAACUAAACUCCGAAUACCGUAAGUUAAGAGCAUGGCAGUUAGACAGCGGCGGAUAAGCGUCAUUGUCAAAAGGGAAACAGCCCAGAUCCUCAGCUAAGGUCCCAAAAUCUAUGUUAAGUGGGAAAGGAUGUGAGAAUACUUAAACAGCCAGGAGGUUGGCUUAGAAGCAGCCAUUCCUUUAAAGAGUGCGUAACAGCUCACUGGUCGAGUGUUUUUGCGCCGAAAAUGUAACGGGGCUCAAACAUAGUACCGAAGCUAGGGAAUUAUAGAGUUAAUCUAUAAUUGGUAGGAGAGCGUUCUUUAAGCCGUUGAAGGUAUGUCGUAAGAUAUGCUGGAGGUAUAAGAAGUGAGGAUGCAGGCAUAAGUAACGAGAAAACGGGUGAAAAACCCGUUCGCCGCAAACCCAAGGUUUCCUAGGUAAAGCUAAUCUGCCUAGGGUUAGUCGACCCCUAAGAUAAGGCUGAAAAGCGUAGUCGAUGGGAAACAGGUAAAUAUUCCUGUACUAUAGUAUGUUUCGAUGGAAUGACACAGAUUGUUUGCGUGCGCGAGGUUUUGGUUGUCCUCGUCGAACCGUUUAGACUUGUGGCGAGUCAAAUGCUUGUCGCUUUAAGGUUGAGGCGGGAUAGUGACUGGGCUUUCGGGUUCAGGAAGUUGCGUGAACUAGGCUGUCGAGAAAUAAUUUCUAAGGUUAGGCAUAUUAUAAUCGUACCGUAAACCGACACAGGUGGGUGAGAUGAAUAUUCUAAGGCGCUCGAGAUAAUCUUCCCUAAGGAACUCGGCAAAUUAGUCUUGUAACUUCGGAAAAAGAGACGCCUGAAUCUCAGUAGCAAUAUUGGGAGGAGGGUCGCAGUGAAAAGGCCUGGCCGACUGUUUAACAAAAACACAGAUCUCUGCAAACAUGCAAAUGGAUGUAUAGGGAUUGACACCUGCCCGGUGCUGGAAGGUUAAGAGGAGAGGUUAGCGCAAGCGAAGCUUUGAAUUGAAGCCCCAGUAAACGGCGGCCGUAACUAUAACGGUCCUAAGGUAGCGAAAUUCCUUGUCGGGUAAGUUCCGACCUGCACGAAUGGUGUAACGAUCCGGGCACUGUCUCGGGGAAGAACUCGGUGAAAUUGAAUUAUCAGUGAAGAUGCUGAUUACCCGCAACAGGACGGAAAGACCCCGUGAACCUUUACUAUAACUUGGCAUUGAGUUUUGUUUUGCGAUGUGUAGGAUAGGUGGGAGACUUUGAAGCGAGAGCGCCAGCUUUUGUGGAGUCAUUGUUGAAAUACCAUCCUUCGUAAAAUGGGAUUCUAACGAUUAGCCGUUAUCCGGCAGUCGGACAUUGCCAGGCGGGUAGUUUGACUGGGGCGG
rnacentral:rRNA from 1 species